UUGUGCACACGCACUGGUGCAGCCUGCAGCGCGCGCCCUUGCACGAGUGCUGCGUGUGCAAUGCUUGGUGCAUGCAGCGUGUUUGGUGCAUGCAGUGUGUGUGGUGUGUGCGGUGCAUGGUGCAUGCAGCAUGUGUGAUGCAUGCAGCACAUUUGGUGAGUGCAGUGUUUGGUGCACGCAGAUGCAGCUGGUGCCGUGCUUCUUGGAGAGCACACAUGUCUGUGUGUGCUGCAUGUGCUAUUUGUGCUAUAUGUGCUACAUGUGUACCUGUGUGUGCUGCAUGUGCAAUAUAUGCACUGUGUGUGCUAUGUGUGUGCUGCAUGUGUGCUGUGUGUGUUGCAUGUGCUGCGUGUGUGUUGCAUGUAUGCUGCGUGUGUGCUGCGUGUGUGCUGCGUGUGCUGCG
rnacentral:lncRNA from 1 species